CUGAUACAUAGAACCAUCUUAAUGUUACAGGCGAAUAUUUACUUGAAUUCCUUGGAUUUUUUUUACAAUGCACCUGUAAGAUAAAACGUCGUAUAUCACACGUGAUCGAAAUGCCACUAUAAAGAUCGUGAUAAGUCUCUCACUCGUGCGCAAGCGCACUCGUGGAUCAAAAUUCUUUUUGCAUAUAAUGAUGCAUUUCCAUCACUGAGAGCCGGUUUACAGAACAUUUUAAUUGCAAUUAAAUUUUAAUCGCGAUUAACUUGACAAUUUUCAAUGCAAUUUAAAUGGCAACUUAAUUCGAACUAGUUUAAUUCCGAAUUAAAUCUUAAUUUCGCUUUCUGUAAACCGGCCCUUAUAAUAACAAGUGAACAUAAUAAUUGUUCUGGUCGUGGUUUACUGUGGUUUUCUCUUUCUAGCAUGAACAGGUUGCGUGAUAAGUUCAUACAGUCCGGGACAUUUCUAUUUGAACAUAAAAAAUUUGAAUUUUCUGACAUUUAUACGUGUAUUCAGCGUCUAUGUGAACAAAAAAUGUUCUCUCUCUCAUUCUAUGGUCCUUGAGCUUUAAUAACAAGGACAUUUUUUAAAUUGGUAGCAUUAGAAAAUGACAGUAAACAGCUGACUGAUGUAAACAAUAACACAAUAACAAAGGAAAUGUUAUAAUUUUAAUUUAUAUAACCAGUGGCUGCUUUAAAAGUGUGUACUAACGGGAUAAUAACAUAAUUACGCAAGUAUUUUUGAAGGUAGAAACAACUACUUAGAUUAUAUGAUGAGACGGGAAUGGCACAACACAGAAUUGCAGUCAGUGAUUGUGCUGGAGAAAGCUGCUGUGAUGUACUGACAGUACUGACUAUCGCUGGUUGUACGAUUUGUGCAAUUUGUGAUAUAUUUUGUGUGAAAAACUGGAAAACAAAGUGCAUGACUGCAUAACCUCACUUAUCGCAGUUUUGCACAUUUUGAUGAUGGGAAUUGCGGUUCAAGUAAUUAUGAGUUAUAGAUGGAGCCCACUGUUUACUUCAAACUGAAGCCUUUUGGGUCCGCUUUUUUCGUUGUUAUUUCCUGGUAGCCACUCUUGUUUCAAGCAGAAUGGGUGUAAGGUUAAAAAUAAUCCCAUAAAAUUGUUAAUAUAACUCCUUUGCACUGGCAUGGGGUAUUUGAAAACUUACGUUUAACAAAUACGUCACAAAGUCUCAGUCAUCGUCGAAAAACAUAAUUAGGGCUUUAUAACAAGAAGCGUUUUCUGAUUUUACUGUGGACGUGUGAAAGAAUAGUGUGGAAUAUUGCGGAAAACCAACUUUUACUCUUGUUUACAUUUUUGUACGUCUCUAUCUGAGAGUAGUCGUCUUGUAUAAAAAAUAUAGCCUACUAAUAAAGGAAAUUAAAGUGUUUUUAUUUCUGGGUUGGCCCCAAUUCCACUUUGCCCUUGCCUGAUAAUCAAGACAGUGAUAAUGAAAUUGGUGUAAGUGCAUCGAAUACAAACGUGUUGAAUAGAUGAAUAAAAGAGAGACAACUGCUUUUUUCAAAAAGGCCAUUUCAAAUUUAUUCAAAAAGCACACCCCCAUUGAAAAUGGUCCAUUCACGAUGAAGUUUGGCUUCCUGCAUGAUAUAGGUCUCGGACACCAAUCUCACUGUAAAUGGUCUAAAUUGGUCAUGCAUCUCUAAGACAUGGACUCACUGAGAGCGACUUCUGCAGUAGGCUUGAGACCUGCCUGCCUGUCUCGCAACAAUCUCUGCAUUAUGAUUCCAAAUCAUUCUAUAAAACGCUGUCAAUUACAAGCCAUGAUAUGAGGCAUGAGGCCGUCUCAGUGUAUGUCUUGUGGUGUACAUUGAAACUGUUUCUUAAAGAACCCAUUCUCAAUGAGAUCUGCUUCACUACAUGCGGCGCGACAGUACUCAAAGACUAAUCCCAAAAGACACAAAAAAACUGACACAGUUUAUCAUUUUAAGCCAUUGACAGCGUUUUCGAAUGUUGGUGCAGACUUGUCGCGAGGCAGGUUUCAGCCUUCCGUCAACGUCGGUCUCAGUGAAACCCUCUCAAAGUGAUCUCAGCGAAAACCAUUCACAAUGAGAUUGGUCUAUGAGGCCUAUGUCGUGCCGCAUGCAGCGAGAUAUGACUCAUUGUUAAUGAAAAUAGGGCCUUUUUGUUUUUAAAGUCGUUUUUUAAAACUUUUGUGGCAAAUUUUACUGAUGUGGCAGAGAGGGGGCAUGCAAUUGGAACAUGACGAUGACCAACCUAAAAGGCACUUCGAGGCUUUUAUGGCCUUUUUAAUGCAAAUUUCAACUUUAAACCUGACAGUCAUACCAAGGUCAAACAUAACCUCAACAGUAAUCCAGCAACGGUACUUCAAAGCAUUUGAAAGUUUCUCCAUUUGUUUGUAAGUGUUCUAGUUGGUACAUUUUGCUGUAUUUUACUACAAUAAAGAAAUAUUUAAAUUUU